AUAGAGCGAGGACGCUAACAGGAACAAUGACUCAGGAUGAGGGUCAGGAGCGCCAGGAGGCGAAGACAGAGGAUUGUCAGGAAGACAAACGUCCGGAGACGUAAUUAAACGGAAAUGGAAUCAACACGGAUUGUUCCGGCUAAAGGAAAAACAGGGUGUGUUGGCGGCCUGCAAGGAUUGUAAGACCCGUUAAGGGUUAUGAGUCAG
rnacentral:sRNA from 2 species